UACGAAGGGUGCAAGCGUUAAUCGGAAUUACUGGGCGUAAAGAGCGCGCAGGCGGUCGUUCAAGUCGCGUGUGAAAGCCCCCGGCUCAACUGGGGAGGGUCACGCGAUACUGAUCGACUCGAAGGCAGGAGAGGGUAGUGGAAUUCCCGGUGUAGUGGUGAAAUGCGUAGAUAUCGGGAGGAACACCAGUGGCGAAGGCGACUACCUGGCCUGUUUCUUGACGCUGAGGCGCGAAAGCUAGGGGAGCAAACGGG
rnacentral:rRNA from 1 species